GACGAACGCUGGCGGCGUGCUUAACACAUGCAAGUCGAACGGAAAGGCCCUGCUUUUGUGGGGUGCUCGAGUGGCGAACGGGUGAGUAACACGUGAGUAACCUGCCCUUGACUUUGGGAUAACUUCAGGAAACUGGGGCUAAUACCGGAUAGGAGCUCCUGCUGCAUGGUGGGGGUUGGAAAGUUUCGGCGGUUGGGGAUGGACUCGCGGCUUAUCAGCUUGUUGGUGGGGUAGUGGCUUACCAAGGCUUUGACGGGUAGCCGGCCUGAGAGGGUGACCGGCCCCAUUGGGACUGGGGUACGGGCCAGAAUCCUACGGGGGGGAACAGUGGGGAAUAUUGCACCAUGGGCGGAAGCCUGAUGCAGCAACGCCGCGUGCGGGAUGACGGCCUUCGGGUUGUAAACCGCUUUCGCCUGUGACGAAGCGUGAGUGACGGUAAUGGGUAAAGAAGCACCGGCUAACUACGUG
rnacentral:rRNA from 1 species